rnacentral:tRNA from 1 species
GUCCGUCUGGCCGAGUGGUCUAAGGCGCUGCGUUCAGGUCGCAGUCUACUUCGGUAGGCGCAGGUUCGCNGUCUACUUCGGUAGGCGCAGGUUCGAAUCCUGCGGCGGACA